CGGGGGGGGCAAGCGUUGUUCGGAAUUACUGGGCGUAAAGGGCUCGUAGGCGGCCAACUAAGUCGGACGUGAAAUCCCCAGGCUCAACUUGGGAACUGCGUCCGAUACUGGAUGGCUUGAAUUCGGGAGAGGGAUGCAGAAUUCCAGGUGUAGCGGUGAAAUGCGUAGAUAUCUGGAGGAAUACCGGUGGCGAAGGCGGCAUCCUGGACCGACAUUGACGCUGAUGAGCGAAAGCCAGGGGAGCAGACGGGAUAAGAUACCCCGGUAGUCCUGGCCCUAAACGAUGAAUGCUUGGUGUGACGGGUAUCGAUCCCUGUCGUGCCGAAGCUAACGCAUUAAGCAUUCCGCCUGGGGAGUACGGUCGCAAGGCUG
rnacentral:rRNA from 1 species